UGCCCUCGUAGCUCAACGGAAGAGCAGGACGCUUCUAUCGUCAAGGUUGUAGGUUCAAAUCCUGCCGAGCGCAA
rnacentral:tRNA from 1 species